rnacentral:lncRNA from 1 species
UGAGUGUAUUUUUCAGUUAAUUAUUUAACAUUGAGAAACAUUCUAAAGCCUAAACGUAUCCUCCCAUUUCUGUAAAAAGAACUACUGUAUAAAUGUACAGAUCUCACAAUUAAAUGGUGUUACUGAUAAAGUGUUUUUCUUUUUGUGAUCUUGAGGUAUGAACUCCCUCUUCUGCCCAAGAACUUAGGACGUGCUCCUCGCCUAUUUAAUAAGAAGAUUACAGAGACACACAGAAGAAUAACUAGACAGUAAUAAUUUAGAAAAAGCCAGGGAAUUAAUCCUGAAUGCUCAUGAGUAGCACCUAAAGAGCAACCACAUGAACUUGGAAGGGGACACUUUCUGCUGAUUCCUGAGUUCUGAUUUCACCCUCAGACCUGAUCUACAUCUGCUUGUUUGACUAGAAGACUAUAGGAGCAGUCCUCUGAGAGGCACAACAAGCAGCUGACCAAGACAGAAGCAGAAACUUUCACUCAUCCAAUGGAGAGAAGCUUGUUAACCCUGUGGUUGAAUUAGUGAAAGGCUGGAGAAUUUGUGGAGGAAGGUGAUUUCACUGAAAAACUUGUAAUCUCAACUAACCUGGACACCUGCAAUCUCUCAGAUUCUGAACCACCAUCCAAGCAGCAUGCACUAGCAGACAGGAGCAGUCCUCUGAGAGGCACAUCAAGCAGAUGACCAAGACUGAAGCAGAAACUUUCACUCAUCCAAUGGACAAAAGCUGGGGAACCCUGUGGUUGAAUUGGUGCAAGGCUGGAAGAAUUUGUGGAGGAAGGUGAUUUCACUGAAAAACCUGCAAUCUCAACAAACCUGGACCCCUGCAAUCUCUCAGAUUCUGAACCACUAUCCAAGCAGCAUGCACUAGCAGGUAUG